GUAGGUAGGUUUAAGUAUGGAUCUGAGAAUGUGGGAAUGUUGUUUUUUCCACUUAAUCCAGCAAAAACAGAAAGAUGCACACAUACAUACAUAUAUAUAUAUAAAUCUGGGUUGAUAUGUAUAAAAUAUAGUACGUAGUGGAAUGAUUAGGCAAACCACAAUCAAAGAAGAAAGUAAAUUCACCGUGAAGCUAGAUUCAUCUUUUUGAAAUCAUGAAAAGCUCAGGCGCUCUGUCGUCGCUCAGGUGUUCAUGCUGAGACCAUGGAUGAGAUCAGAAGAAGCAAAGCUCCAUCGUCGAGAUUUAAUAAACCGUGUAUUCUCAUUAUAGGUAUACUUCUUUCUGUCUACCUUGAUCCUGCCUAGUUUUUUGCUUCUACGUAAUUUAAUUUAGAUAUUGCCGGUAACGACGGCCUGUGUAUAAAAAAAACAGUGGUGGCGACCAUAGAAAGAUUUGCAUAUAAGGGAGUGGCUUCAGAUCUAGUCACGUUUCUCACCCAGGAAUUGAGUUAACUCCAUGGUUCCACUCCUCGGAGCUUUUCUUACUGAACUUUAAGUAGUUUUAAUUCCUAGUUUAAUUCUGUCAUUUAUUUUGAACUUAAUAUGUAAACAACUCUAUUUUCAUUAAUGCUAAAGUAAGUUACAAAAAAAAGAAAUUG
rnacentral:lncRNA from 1 species